rnacentral:rRNA from 1 species
GGUUAAGCGACUAAGCGUACACGGUGGAUGCCCUGGCAGUCAGAGGCGAUGAAGGACGUGCUAAUCUGCGAUAAGCGUCGGUAAGGUGAUAUGAACCGUUAUAACCGGCGAUUUCCGAAUGGGGAAACCCAGUGUGAUUCGUCACACUAUCAUUAACUGAAUCCAUAGGUUAAUGAGGCGAACCGGGGGAACUGAAACAUCUAAGUACCCCGAGGAAAAGAAAUCAACCGAGAUUCCCCCAGUAGCGGCGAGCGAACGGGGAGCAGCCCAGAGCCUGAAUCAGUGUGUGUGUUAGUGGAAGCGUCUGGAAAGGCGUGCGAUACAGGGUGACAGCCCCGUACACAAAAAUGCACAUACUGUGAGCUCGAUGAGUAGGGCGGGACACGUGGUAUCCUGUCUGAAUAUGGGGGGACCAUCCUCCAAGGCUAAAUACUCCUGACUGACCGAUAGUGAACCAGUACCGUGAGGGAAAGGCGAAAAGAACCCCGGCGAGGGGAGUGAAAAAGAACCUGAAACCGUGUACGUACAAGCAGUGGGAGCACGCUUAGGCGUGUGACUGCGUACCUUUUGUAUAAUGGGUCAGCGACUUAUAUUCUGUAGCAAGGUUAACCGAAUAGGGGAGCCGAAGGGAAACCGAGUCUUAACUGGGCGUUAAGUUGCAGGGUAUAGACCCGAAACCCGGUGAUCUAGCCAUGGGCAGGUUGAAGGUUGGGUAACACUAACUGGAGGACCGAACCGACUAAUGUUGAAAAAUUAGCGGAUGACUUGUGGCUGGGGGUGAAAGGCCAAUCAAACCGGGAGAUAGCUGGUUCUCCCCGAAAGCUAUUUAGGUAGCGCCUCGUGAAUUCAUCUCCGGGGGUAGAGCACUGUUUCGGCAAGGGGGUCAUCCCGACUUACCAACCCGAUGCAAACUGCGAAUACCGGAGAAUGUUAUCACGGGAGACACACGGCGGGUGCUAACGUCCGUCGUGAAGAGGGAAACAACCCAGACCGCCAGCUAAGGUCCCAAAGUCAUGGUUAAGUGGGAAACGAUGUGGGAAGGCCCAGACAGCCAGGAUGUUGGCUUAGAAGCAGCCAUCAUUUAAAGAAAGCGUAAUAGCUCACUGGUCGAGUCGGCCUGCGCGGAAGAUGUAACGGGGCUAAACCAUGCACCGAAGCUGCGGCAGCGACGCUUAUGCGUUGUUGGGUAGGGGAGCGUUCUGUAAGCCUGUGAAGGUGUGCUGUGAGGUAUGCUGGAGGUAUCAGAAGUGCGAAUGCUGACAUAAGUAACGAUAAAGCGGGUGAAAAGCCCGCUCGCCGGAAGACCAAGGGUUCCUGUCCAACGUUAAUCGGGGCAGGGUGAGUCGACCCCUAAGGCGAGGCCGAAAGGCGUAGUCGAUGGGAAACAGGUUAAUAUUCCUGUACUUGGUGUUACUGCGAAGGGGGGACGGAGAAGGCUAUGUUGGCCGGGCGACGGUUGUCCCGGUUUAAGCGUGUAGGCUGGUUUUCCAGGCAAAUCCGGAAAAUCAAGGCCGAGGCGUGAUGACGAGGCACUACGGUGCUGAAGCAACAAAUGCCCUGCUUCCAGGAAAAGCCUCUAAGCAUCAGGUAACAUCAAAUCGUACCCCAAACCGACACAGGUGGUCAGGUAGAGAAUACCAAGGCGCUUGAGAGAACUCGGGUGAAGGAACUAGGCAAAAUGGUGCCGUAACUUCGGGAGAAGGCACGCUGAUACGUAGGUGAAGCGACUUGCUCGUGGAGCUGAAAUCAGUCGAAGAUACCAGCUGGCUGCAACUGUUUAUUAAAAACACAGCACUGUGCAAACACGAAAGUGGACGUAUACGGUGUGACGCCUGCCCGGUGCCGGAAGGUUAAUUGAUGGGGUUAGCGCAAGCGAAGCUCUUGAUCGAAGCCCCGGUAAACGGCGGCCGUAACUAUAACGGUCCUAAGGUAGCGAAAUUCCUUGUCGGGUAAGUUCCGACCUGCACGAAUGGCGUAAUGAUGGCCAGGCUGUCUCCACCCGAGACUCAGUGAAAUUGAACUCGCUGUGAAGAUGCAGUGUACCCGCGGCAAGACGGAAAGACCCCGUGAACCUUUACUAUAGCUUGACACUGAACAUUGAGCCUUGAUGUGUAGGAUAGGUGGGAGGCUUUGAAGUGUGGACGCCAGUCUGCAUGGAGCCGACCUUGAAAUACCACCCUUUAAUGUUUGAUGUUCUAACGUGGACCCGUGAUCCGGGUUGCGGACAGUGUCUGGUGGGUAGUUUGACUGGGGCGGUCUCCUCCUAAAGAGUAACGGAGGAGCACGAAGGUUGGCUAAUCCUGGUCGGACAUCAGGAGGUUAGUGCAAUGGCAUAAGCCAGCUUGACUGCGAGCGUGACGGCGCGAGCAGGUGCGAAAGCAGGUCAUAGUGAUCCGGUGGUUCUGAAUGGAAGGGCCAUCGCUCAACGGAUAAAAGGUACUCCGGGGAUAACAGGCUGAUACCGCCCAAGAGUUCAUAUCGACGGCGGUGUUUGGCACCUCGAUGUCGGCUCAUCACAUCCUGGGGCUGAAGUAGGUCCCAAGGGUAUGGCUGUUCGCCAUUUAAAGUGGUACGCGAGCUGGGUUUAGAACGUCGUGAGACAGUUC